rnacentral:rRNA from 1 species
ACGGGUGAGUAACACGUGGGAAACUACCCUUUGGUGCGGAAUAACACAGAGAAAUUUGUGCUAAUACCGCAUGAGCUCUUCGGAGGAAAGAUUUAUCGCCAAAGGAUGUGCCCGCGUCCGAUUAGCUAGUUGGUGAGGUAAUGGCUCACCAAGGCGACGAUCGGUAGCUGGUCUGAGAGGAUGAUCAGCCACACUGGGACUGAGACACGGCCCAGACUCCUACGGGAGGCAGCAGUGGGGAAUAUUGGACAAUGGGCGCAAGCCUGAUCCAGCCAUGCCGCGUGAGUGAUGAAGGCCUUAGGGUUGUAAAGCUCUUUCGCCCGCGAGGAUAAUGACGGUAGCGGGAUAAGAAGCCCCGGCUAACUUCGUGCCAGCAGUCGCGGUAAUACGAAGGGGGCUAGCGUUGUUCGGAAUCACUGGGCGUAAAGCGCACGUAGGCGGACUUUUAAGUCAGAGGUGAAAGCCUGGAGCUCAACUUCAGAACUGCCUUUGAUACUGGAAGUCUUGAGUCCGGUAGAGGUGAGUGGAACUGCUAGU